GUUCAGGCCCAGACCCGUCCCGGCGGCCUGGAUUCCACUGCCUAGGCAGGAAGCUCAUCUCAGCCCAGUGACCGUCUCUCUGAUGGUUCUUCACCAUGAUAAGGCACCCCGCUCUCCAGCCACAGUAGCCACCCUCAACUGGGACAUGUCUGUGUCUACUUUCCAGGAGUGAAAACACCCGGUAAAGGGUAAAUCCUGAAGCUACCGUUUCAACUCCAGCUCAGGACCAGACAGAAGGGCUGCCAGCUGCUGCCAUCUCUCUUCUCAACCCAAGUGUCCUGACCACUAGGAACAACCUCUUCCUUGUUUCUGAGAAUCAGGCUGGUGUCAUGCAGAAUGGUCAAGCAGGAGGACAGGAGUGCAUGCUUCUCUUUACCCCAAGGAGGUGAUCAACUCUUCCACAGGAAGAGCUACAGUGUUUCACCCCCUAAAGGUCUAGCACAGAGGAGAUGCUCAACAUUACUCAUCGGGCUGUGCCAAUUUAACCUGUUUGCAAUGCACCAAACUGUCUGUCUCCCUCUGGAUUCCCAGGGCGCUCAGCGGACAGUGUAGGGGUUCCUGGCAUACCUACACUGUGAUUUCUAUCUGGCCUGUUGUGUGACUCAGGAGUUACAGAAAUAUCCUACGUGGUGACUGUUGGCAGUGCAAGGCCUCUGCCCCAACGUUAGACUGUAGGCUCUGAUGAUGCAAAUUAGCAACAGGUUAUAAAAUCUCCAUCACCCCAAAUUUGUCUUUAAUAUCUCUUUAUUUGCCCCACCUUAGAUUUUCCUCAGCAAUCACAAGAAAGAAGAGAGUUGCACCUCAGAAGAGUGCGCCUCAGGGCCGGUCCUUACAGUGCGCGCCUCUCCCCAUAAUACACUCACACACAACACACACGCUCACCGGGUGCGGCAGGGCCAACCCCUGCCCGUCCUUCCUGUGUCAUUCAAUUUAAUCAAAUAGGAACUUGCACUUAGACAGCAAAUAAUGCUCAACAACAAUAACGGCCCAUACUGAGCAUUAUUGGCCUAGUUUCUUUGAGUUUCAAAGUUACCAGAACAAGUCAGAUGAAACAGGGGGGGCUUGACACAGGCUCAGUGACAGCCGGUUGUGAUGAGGCCAUUGACGUGACUUUCACUGCAGGGUAGAGGAGAACCUGGGCUGGCGGCCUAGGGCCUGGAGCCCAUCACUCCCAAAUUCCUGGCUCUGGGAACAGCAUGAGAUGGAUGCUGGAGCCUCCUUCCAGCCUAUCCAGCUUGACACCAUGGGGGUGCCUGGGGAAAUGGCAUGUACUUGCCAACUGAAGAACUGACCCUAAAGAGCUAUAUCACUGGGAGCCGGUUCUGGCGUGGCACACCUGAGGCUGAGUAAAAUUGGGGAGAAUCAGGGGAAGGGAGGGAAGCGCAGGGGAGAAUGUCUGCUAUUACUCCCGUGGAGCAGAGCCAGGCUUCAGCCAUGAUGAGUGUAACCAGCACUGAGCCUGUAGAAUGGGUGGGCAUCUCUGAGAGACU